rnacentral:rRNA from 1 species
GUGAACGCUGGCGGCAGGCCUAAUACAUGCAAGUCGAACGGCAGCACCGUGGAGCUUGCUCCAUGGGUGGCGAGUGGCGGACGGGUGAGGAAUACAUGGGAAUCUGCCCAGUCGUGGGGGAUAACGUAGGGAAACUUACGCUAAUACCGCAUGCGCCCUUCGGGGGAAAGCCGGGGACCUUCGGGCCUGGCGCGAUUGGAUGAGCCCAUGUUCGAUUAGCUAGUUGGCGGGGUAAAGGCCCACCAAGGCGACGAUCGAUAGCUGGUCUGAGAGGAUGAUCAGCCACACUGGGACUGAGACACGGCCCAGACUCCUACGGGAGGCAGCAGUAGGGAAUAUUGGACAAUGGGCGCAAGCCUGAUCCAGCCAUGCCGCGUGAGUGAAGAAGGCCCUCGGGUUGUAAAGCUCUUUUGUCCGGGAAGAAAAGCAUCGGGCUAAUACCUCGGUGUUCUGACGGUACCGGAAGAAUAAGCACCGGCUAACUUCGUG